CCUACGGGCGGCAGCAGUGAGGAAUAUUGGUCAAUGGACGAGAGUCUGAACCAGCCAAGUAGCGUGAAGGAUGACUGCCCUAUGGGUUGUAAACUUCUUUUAUAAAGGAAUAAAACGAGGCACGUGUGCCUUUUUGUAUGUACUUUAUGAAUAAGGAUCGGCUAACUCCGUGCCAGCAGCCGCGGUAAUACGGAGGAUCCGAGCGUUAUCCGGAUUUAUUGGGUUUAAAGGGAGCGUAGAUGGGUUGUUAAGUCAGUUGUGAAAGUUUGCGGCUCAACCGUAAAAUUGCAAUUGAUACUGGCAGUCUUGAGUACAGUUGAGGUAGGCGGAAUUCGUGGUGUAGCGGUGAAAUGCUUAGAUAUCACGAAGAACCCCGAUUGCGAAGACAGCUUACUAAACUGUGACUGACAUUGAUGCUCGAAAGUGUGGGUAUCAAACAGGAUUAGAUACCCCAGUAGUC
rnacentral:rRNA from 1 species